AGAGUUUGAUCCUGGCUCAGAACGAACGCUGGUGGCGUGUCUUAUACAUGCAAGUCGAGCGGUGCAGCAAUGCAUAGCGGCGAACGGGUGAGUAACACGUAAGCAAUCUGCCCCCCACUCGGGGAUAGCCGUGCCAACGCGCGGAUAAUACCGGAUAUCGUGGCCAUCCACAUGGGUGGUUGACGAAAGAUUUAUCGGUGGGGGAUGAGCUUGCGUCCGAUUAGCUAGUAGGCGGUGCAACGGACCACCUAGGCGACGAUCGGUAGCCGGCCUGAGAGGGCGAUCGGCCACAUUGGGACUGAGAUACGGCCCAGACUCCUACGGGAGGCAGCAGUAGGGAAUAUUGCACAAUGGGGGGAACCCUGAUGCAGCAACGCCACGUGUGGGAAGAAGCAUUUCGGUGUGUAAACCACUGUCGUGAGGGAAUAAUGCUCGCUCUCGGGCGAGUUGAAUGUACCUCGAAAGGAAGCACCGGCAAACUUCGUGCCAGCAGCCGCGGUAAUACGAGGGGUGCAAGCGUUGUUCGGAAUCACUGGGCGUAAAGGGAGCGUAGGCGGAGGUGCAAGCAGUCUGUACAAUACCGGGGCCCAACCCCGGACCUGCAGACUGGACUGUUCCUCUUGGAUAGUUCAGGGGCUGGCGGAAUUCCUGGUGUAGCGGUGGAAUGCGUAGAGAUCAGGAAGAACACCGAUGGCGAAGGCAGCCAGCUGGGGACUCAUCGACGCUGAGGCUCGAAAGUGCGGGUAGCAAACAGGAUUAGAUACCCUGGUAGUCCGCACCGUAAACGAUGCAUACUGGGUGUCCGGGGUUCGCCCCGGGUACCGCAGCCAACGCGUUAAGUAUGCCGCCUGGGGAGUACGUACGCAAGUAUGAAACUCAAAGGAAUUGACGGGGACCCGCACAAGCGGUGGAGCAUGUGGUUUAAUUCGACGCAACGCGAAGAACCUUACCAAAUCUUGACAUCUCGAUGACCAUCCGGGCAAUGCCGGACUUUCUUCGGAACAUCGAUGACAGGUGGUGCAUGGUUGUCGUCAGCUCGUGUCGUGAGAUGUUGGGUUAAGUCCCGCAACGAGCGCAACCCCUGUUCUUAGUAGCCAGCAGUACGGCUGGGCACUCUAGGAAGACUGCCAGGGAUAACCUGGAGGAAGGCGGGGAUGACGUCAAAUCAUCAUGCCCCUUAUGAUUUGGGCUACACACGUGCUACAAUGGCGUAAACAAAGGGAAGCGACCCCGUGAGGGUGAGCAAAUCUCAAAAAUAACGUCUCAGUUCGGAUUGUAGUCCGCAACUCGACUACAUGAAGCUGGGAUCGCUAGUAAUCGCAGAUCAGAAUGCUGCGGUGAAUACGUUCCCGGGUCUUGCACUCACCGCCGGUCAAG
rnacentral:rRNA from 1 species